UCUCCUCCCUCCCGGUCCGAACCAGGUGAUCCCGCCCGUCUGGCCACAGCUGAUUGGAUGAAGAGACGAUACCCGUCCGAACCGAGCCAAUCAGUUUGCUUUCCCCCAAACACGGAACUGGGGUUUAGGAACCCACUGAGUCUUGGAGGCUGUUUAAACCUCUCUCCCCAACCCACACCAAGAAGUGGAAAAGGCAGCUCAGCAGAGGCAGGCGAAGGAGGGAACAACUGAGAAGAGGCAGGACGACACGUGCUAUGUUUGAAGUCAGAAAAGCAGUGAUGAAAAGGAAAGAAGGUCUCCGUAGCUUGUUCUGGAGGCUGCAAGUCCAAGGUCAAGGCGCCGAUAGAUUUGCUGUUUGGCAACAGCCUGCUCUCCGGUUCGCAGACAGCCGUUCGUCCUCACGUGGUGCAAGG